rnacentral:rRNA from 1 species
AAUAGAUACCCCGGUAGUCCACGCCGUAAACGAUGAGUACUAGGUGUCGGGGGUUACCCCCCUCGGUGCCGCAGCUAACGCAUUAAGUACUCCGCCUGGGAAGUACGCUCGCAAGAGUGAAACUCAAAGGAUUAAAAAAAAAAAAAGCGGGGACCCGCACAAGUAGCGGAGCAUGUGGUUUAAUUCGAAGCAACGCGAAGAACCUUACCUAAGCUUGACAUCCCAAUGACCUCUCCCUAAUCGGAGAUUUCCCUUCGGGGACAUUGGUGACAGGUGGUGCAUGGUUGUCGUCAGCUCGUGUCGUGAGAUGUUGGGUUAAGUCCCGCAACGAGCGCAACCCUUGUCUUUAGUUGCCAGCAUUAAGUUGGGCACUCUAGAGAGACUGCCGAGGAUAACUCGGAGGAAGGUGGGGAUGACGUCAAAUCAUCAUGCCCCUUAUGCUUAGGGCUACACACGUGCUACAAUGGGUGGUACAGAGGGUAGCCGAAACCGUGGGGUGGAGCUAAUCCCUUAAAGCCAUUCUCAGUUCGGAUUGUAGGCUGAAACUCGCCUACA